CGCUGGAAGCUCCCGCUGUUAAGCUGUGUGAUCCGCUUUAGCUCUCAGAAAACCGGAUUGUGUGUUGUUCCAGGUUCUUGGGGUCGCGUUGGUCGUCGGGUAGUGAACGGAUGCGAUUCUUUAGCAGCAGCUCGUUUGAAAACGAGUUUUUUUUUUUUAAUUAUUCGAGAGAGAGGGAUGCAGGUAGAGAAUGGGCAUUCCAAGUCACUGCAAAGGAACUCCAGGCACAUGCGCCACCUUGUGCAUCUAGCUUUAGGGUAAGAAAACAUCCUGGAAGAAUCUUCUUCCUCUUAAGAGUCAAGCAACAACCGAUUUAAGAGCUCAUUGUUGAUAUAAAACUCGGGUCAUAUAAUUCUACCAUCUCCAGUUCCCCUUUCCAGACUGCUUGCUGCCUUAUGUCCUUAUUGGAUGCAUGUGAACAAGGAACCUCAUAUUGAUGUGACAGUGACAGCGUUAGCCAGAGGGAAGCGCAGAAAUAUCACAGUGGCAAAUAAAACGACUGUUCACUGUAUUUGGCGUUUCACUGUGUUGGUGACCUCAGUGAUGGCCUGAUGGUAUUUUUCUGAGGCUGACUUGAAUUCCACAAGAUGCUUCUCAUAACUUUUGAUGGCUGCUUGAAGCUGCGUUUUUUCCACUGCUCCCAGGAUGGCACGGAAGAUCAUGUCUAUGCCAAGGCCGAGAGCAGCGACCCCAAUGCUACCCAAAAGAGAAGCACCGAUUUGAGCUAACACACCCACCAACUUGCUAAUGAUGCCAGAUGUGACACUGGAGCCCACCAGCUUCACGGCCACGGCACUGGCAGCUGCCGUGGCUUCCCCCAGGAUGACCGAAAUGACUUUCUGUACUAUGGCGAUUUUCUCGGUUUCCCUUUCCUUAAUAUCCUGGAGUUUCCUAUAGAGGGUGGGCUCCAGCUUAUCUCUAAGUGCCUCAUCAACCUUCUGCAGCUCCUUCUGGAUCUCCACCAUGGCCUGGAUGAUGAUGUCGCAGUUUUCCUUGAUGGUUCCCUCUCUUCUCAUUUCGAUCAGGGCCAGCCUGCACCCCAGGUGCACGUUUAGAACGCCUGUCAGCUCGUUGGUGGCAUGGAAGCUGUCAGCGAGGCAGUCCAGGAGCUGCUUGUGCAGCCGAUUCACUUCCUGUCGCCUCCUUGGGUUUUCCGGGUAGAGGAAGUCACUCUGGGCCAUAUUUGCAGUAUGAUCUCUGGAAAAUAUGACAGUGAAUCUUUGCUGAAAAUCUUGCAAAAAUAUCUGUGUCAUAAAUAAGGGGUCAUAAGCUGAAGGAUUCUCAGAAAAAUAAAUUUAAUAUUUUAAAAAUA